GCCAUCUGUGCGAAGGCCAUCUAUCAGGGCACCAAGGCCAUCUGUACCAAGGCCAUCUGUCAGGGUACCAAGACCAUCUGUCAGGGUACCAAGGCCAUCUGCCAGGGCACCAAGGCCAUCUGUCAGGCUACUAAGGACUUCUGUCAGUGCACCAAGGACAUCUGUCAGUGCACCAAGGACAUCUGUCAGGGUACUAAGGCCAUCUACGCUCAUUGGCUACAGCCUCUCAUGUCUACACCAAUGCUGACAUACGGGAGGCGCCAGAAAAGAAACUGAGGAAGCUGACCUGUUCUACUCUCUCCCAUGACAACACAUACCUGAGGUCUCUUCCUCAAACCAGCUACUACCUGAUCUUGGGCCUUCAGAACCAGUUGUCUCGGCAUGGUUGUCUGAAGACCAUCCAGGACCAUGAGGACUUCUGUUUCACGGUUAACCACCACAACCACAACCGUGGUCCAGUCCAGCUGCAGAGAACACUACAGGAGAUCAGGAAGAGGAUGAUUGGCAGCCGCUCCACAUCUGAUGUGAUGUCAGCGGGAUGGGGUUGGAGCCAGCAGGAGAUGUUAGUACAGCCCCCUAGAAUUCACGUCACCACCGCGGAGAGAAGACACCUGGACCGGAUUGUCCCUUCAGAGACAGGGAAAAGGCUUAUGCCGGGAGAGAGACUUCCAGAAAGAGGGACUGGCGAGAGACUUCCAGAAAGAGGGCCUGGGGAGAGACUUCCAGAAAGAGGGCCAGGGGAGAGACUUCCAGAAAGAGGGCCAGGGGAGAGACUUCCAGAAAGAGGGGCUGGGGAGAGACUUCCAAAAAAAGGGACUGGCGAGAGACUUCCAGAAAGAGGGUCUGGGGAGAGGCUUCCAGAAAGAGGGUCUGGGGAGAGACUUCCAGAAAGAGGGGCUGCGGAGAACUCUGCAGCCUUCCUCCUCUCACAGCAGCAGGAACAGGACUAUACUGAGCAAAUGUUUCCCAAGGUGAAGGUUCCCAAGUUUGCAACCCUUCAGCCUAGUUUUCUGAAGAACUUGAAGACGGUGAUGCCAACUUUGGGAGUUGAGGAGAUACCCGAGAAGAGUAAGAGAGCAGAGAUGACUGUGAGGAUGCUGAGACACAUGCACAGCCUGUCCCUUACCAACAUGGCUGUCUCUCAGAGAAUGCUACUGGACAGAGACAGACACUCACUGUGCUGCUGCUGGGAACAGAAGAGGAGUUUCCAAGAUCUGACGCAGUAUGUAUUUCCGAGUGUUCACUCUAACGAAGAGAAGAAGAGGUGUGCUGGGAACCUUCCUCCUCUCCUUCCUCUCCCUCCUCCUCCUCUGUCCUACCAGGAAUGGGAUAGGAUCAACCCAGAGGAUUCAGAGGUCCCUAGCCUGGGCCUGGAAGGGCUUGGGCUGAGGACCACACCCUCUGCUGGAAACACAGAAAUAUGUAGCAAGACUCCUGAGCCUUUAUCCAUAGAGGAUGUGUGUCAACGCAACCCUUCAGUGGUGAUAGGUUGUGGAUAUAAGCUUUGGAGGAAUUAUGACGAGGAGACAGCCUAUUGGGUAUCUUCUUUUGACGUGAAGGCCACUAGGCUACAACAAUCACCAAUCACCAAUCACCAAUAACAUGAAUAAGAUAAAAGGAUUAUGAGAUGAUGUAUUAUUUUGAGACCAGUUCACUUUGAGACCAGUUCACUUUGAGACCGUUCACUGAGAGACCCGUUCACUGAGAAACCAGUUCACUGAGAGACCAGUUCACUUUGAGACCAGUUCACUGAGAGACCCGUUCACUGAGAGACCAGUUCACUUUGAGACCAGUUCACUGAGAGACCAGUUCACUUUGAGACCAGUUCACUUUGAGACCAGUUCACUUUGAGACCAGUUCAGUUUGAGACCAGUUCAGUUUGAGACCAGUUCACUGAGAGACCAGUUCACUGAGAGACCAGUUCACUUAGAGACCAGUUCACUGAGAGACCAGUUCACCGAGAGACCAGUUCACCGAGAGACCAAUUCACUGAGAGACCAGUUCACUUAGAGACCAGUUCACUUUGAGACCAGUUCACUUAGAGACCAGUUCACUUUGAGUGUGAACAGAGUAUAGCCUACUAAUCUGGAUUCCUAUUUUGUUUCUCUUUGACUAUAACAACAACAACAACAAAACGAUAUAGUUGUUUUUACAAAUAAAAUGUACUAUUAGCAGUAUGUAUUUUACUUAUAGAAUGUAUCAUCAACAAUAUGAGUAAAGAACUAAAGGCAAAUAAUGAAUAGAAAAGCAAUUCUUUAGCUACCAAUUAUUUUUAAGAGAAAUUUAACCAAUGUGUAUUUAGAAUGACACUUUCUACUCACUUGAUUGAUUCUGAUUGUGAAUGAUUUAACCUAAUAAAAAAACUUGCUAAAA
rnacentral:lncRNA from 1 species